rnacentral:rRNA from 1 species
UGAAUGGAUCAACGAGGGCCCCACUGUCCCCGCGUAGUACCCGGUGAAACCACAUAACGUGGACGAACAGUCCACGAUCUCCCAGCGGGAAAAGAAGUCCCUGUGGAGUUUUACUGCAGCCUGCCGCUGGAAUACGGUUGUGGAUACAGAGCGUAGUCGGGAGCUUUCGAUCCUGUGUUCUCUGGGACACGGGGGAGGCAACAAUGGAACACCGACUUUCUGCAACCGUGUUUCUCACCGGCCCCUAGCGGGCUGGAACAACGGUAGGUGGGCAGUUCGGCUGGGGCGGCACGCCCUUGAAAAGAUAUCAAGGGCGCCCUAAGGUUGGCUCAGGAGGGACAGAAAUCCUCCGUAGAGUGCAAGGGCAAAAGCCAGCCUGACUGUGUCCCAAACAGUAAGGGACGCAGAGGAGAAAUCCGGGCUUAGCGAUCAUCCAUGCUCCCCAUUGGUGGGGGCUGGAUGUGUCAGAAAAAUUACCCUAGGGAUAACAGGCUCGUCGCGGGCGAGAGUCCCCAUCGACCCCGCGGCUUGGUACCUCGAUGUCGGCUCUUCCUAUCCUGGCCCUGCAUAAGGGGCCAAGGGUGAGGCUGCUCGCCUAUUAAAAGGGAACGUGAGCUGGGUUUAGACCGUCGUGAGACAGGUCGGACUUUAUCUGCUGGGAGUGUUGGCUGCUUGAGGGGAAAGGGUCCCUAGUACGAGAGGAACUGGACGCUGCGGCCCCUAGUUAACCGGUUGUCUGAUAAGGCAGUCGCCGGGCAGCCACGCCGUUGUGGAUAAGAGCUGAAAGCAUCUAAGCUCGAAGCCUCUCCCGAAAAGAGGCAGCCAUUCCAGUUUCACUGGACGAAGGCACCCAUAAAAGAUGGGUUUGAUGGAGCCGGGGUGUAAAUCAGAAGACUUCGGUCGACUGGUUCAGCCUGCGGCCACCAAUCGCCUGAGAUGUCGAGUCA